rnacentral:lncRNA from 1 species
UGAAAUAGAAUCCAUUACGAGCAUACUAAAUAAGCCAGUCAAUUAUGUCCUUGCAUUCACCAGCAACCAACAGCUAAACAGACCCCACACAAAAGCAAAGACCAAUUCAGAUCCGAGUACUAACAGCCAUUAGUCUUUCGCGAACACCACACUAACUAAAGUUUCCCGGGGUCGGCGGAACAGAACAUCGAUUCAUAAACAGCAUGACACGACAAAUGGGACAAUAGACCUAGAGCGAAGCUUCACCGUCUAACCCGCGUCGCGAUGUCCAUUCGCUAGGUGAUCACUUCGAGCACGCACAUAACCAACAGUGUGAUCCUGAAAAAACAGAAGCUAAAAUGAAAACCAAAUUGGGUAUAGCACAAAAGGUAGUUAAUGAUAGAAAAGGCAGUGGACAGACACACCAAAAGAAUAGGCUCUCCAAUGCCGCCUGAACUACAGCUUGAGCCUUUUAGCCACAUUGGAGCCGUCUCCUUCUGCCGCCAGGUCAUCAGUUGAUUUACUUCAUGGACAAACAACGAGCUUGUAAAAGAAGGCAGCAAUGACGCAUAUACUGUUAGACACUUGCUUCAAAUCAAAGCCAUAUACCUAGAGGUAGCAGCAAGAUCAUCACCGAGAACAACAGAGCCACCAUCCAGUUUUGCACCCCCCUGGCAGGUAUAAACAAAUAUACCAUGUCAACCGAUCACCAAAUAAUCAUGUGAUCAGGUCUGGAUGAAUCCUCACCAAGCAAACAAAAGAAAAUAUAGUAUGCUACAUUACAUCUUAAGUACAAGUGUAGAUAAUUUGAUAUCCGAUAUAACAGAUGCUUUAGUUAACCAAACUCAAAGGACCAAGACUCUAGUCAGAUGAUUCUAAAAUAACAUCAAGAUUUAUUUGUUUUAUUAUAUUGUUAGCCAAUUAUGCGAGGUAUUUCUAACGCAUCUUGAUGUUAUUUUAGAAUCUGAAGCAUUCUCCUAUUUAUUUGUUAGCACACAUAAAUGCAAACUUGAGUUAUUCUGUUCAAGCAUACAACAAAAACAAGUUGAAAAUACUACAGAUUCGAAAGCACAAGUAAAGCCUACAAGAAUGAUUCUCUUAUUUAUUUGUUACCACACAUAAAUACAAACUUGAGUUAUUAUGUUCAAGCAUACAACAAAAACAAGUUGAAAAUACUACAGAUUCAAAAGCACAAGUGAAGCCUAUAGGCUGAAACUAUUGCAGAUUCAAAAAACACAUACCAUUUUUAAUUUCAAAUUGAGCAUAGAUAUGAACCUGAAUUAUUUUAUCUGAACAUAUGAUUAGGAUAAAUCUAUGGUUAGGAUAAGCCUAAAAGAGCUAGAUUUACAUGCCUGAGACACCGUAGAUUUUCUAUUCAAGCAUAUAGUCAGGAUAAUCCGAAAUAAGUAGAACCCUGAACCAUCGCUUAUCCCAGAAUAACAAAGUGCAACUUACUCUUAACCAGAUUAGAUCAAGGACCAACAACAAACAAUAAAAGAUCAAAGGUAUGAGAGAGAAGAAAUCUUUACAUAAGACGGCUAUAAACACUGGAGCAUAAAUAAGCAACACCUUUAAAUAAAAUUAGAAGGGUUCAGUGUUCAAUGCAUAGUGGGCUCAGAUUCGCCUUUCCUCGAUCAUAUAAUCUACCCCCAUCAUCUCUUUCACCAGAUCAAUCUGUUUAUACAGUGGAUCUGCCCUGGUUAUCAUUCAACAAGAAUGACCAUCCAAGGACAGAACAAUAAGUAUCACAGGAUCAAAAAGGAUUCUAGAGACGAGGAGGAGGAUCCAACUUGAUACCCAUAGGCGCCUCGAUUGCUCAAAGGCACACUUAUUUCAGCCACGGCUAAUCAUCAUCGCCCUAGCAAGAAUGGCUUCCGACCAAUGGGGCACGUGAUUCAAACGCGGUGGCACGAUAUAUCUCACCGCGGUAGUAACUAUUAAUGGCUACAGGAGCUCUGGCUCGAUCCUACGGCUGAGAUCAAUCCGGAGCGAGAUCCGGCAGCCAGAAUCGCAUCAAGAAACCGAUCCGACGGCCGAAAGUGCCUGAGCUAUGAGGAGCCAGGUGAGGUGCUUCGUUUCUUCUUUCUCGAUGGAUCACCAGAUCAAUAUUUUCUUAUGACGGUGAAACUGCCCUGGUUAUCACUCAUCAGAAAUGAUCAUCCAAGGACAGAGCCACUAAAAUAAGAACAUGAUCAAAAUGGCUCAAAGAAAUGAGGGGGAUCCAAAUUAAUACCCACAAGUGCCUCAAUUGCUCGAGAGCAUGCCUAUAUCAGCCAUAACUGAUCAUCGUAGCCCUGGCCAUGUCCCAUGCAGUAGCCGAAGCAGAGCAGGAGGAAGAUGGAGCUCACCGAGGGAGGUUGUAGCUGAGGCAGUACUCAGUGGGCGCCGGGGUGGCGCCUGAACGCCGUCCAGCCGGCAAGGAACCGCUUCCUACACCGCACAUCCACGACGCUGCAUCGGAGUUGCGCCUUGCACCGUCCAACCGAUGAGCACAAGGAUGAGGUCAUGCAUAGCACAUCUAGGAGCUUCCUGAUGGCUGGCUAGCACAAGGGAGGGCCGACGCGAUCCCGCAUCAACGACAUGAAUUUGCAUAAAUCCAUCCUUGCUCUUACCAUGUUUUCUGCAAAACACACACAGAGCCCAAGCAUGUUAAUAGAGCACAACCAGAAUCUUCUAUCUCAUAUGGAGAUUAAAAGGAACAACAAUAAAGGACAUAUGAAACCAGUGGCUCAAAUUUACACACAUGAUCAAGAAAAUGGCAGAGUGGGCAGCAUAUAUAUGCAGCAAUCCAUCUCCAUGCUCUUAUCAUGUUUUAUAAAAUCCAGAGUGACGCCUACCAUCAGCAACAUAACUUGCAUAAAGUGACACCUACGAUUAGUAAUACUGGAAUAAACCUCACUAUAAAUUAGAGCACGUUGAUACUCUUUACAGGGAUAAAUUAGAGCAAAAACUGGAAAACAAAUUAUGGUUACAUACUAUCUUCAGGCAUGUCCUACAGUGAAAUAGAGACUGAGCAGUGAGGGAAGGUGAGAAAGAAAUUAUAUUUGAUGAGAAUCGAUUUUGGUCCUUAGUAUUACAUGGAUUUAUCAGUCGAUGCACAUGAAGGGUGGCUUUAGAAUUUUCUUGUCUUACUUAAAAAAACAGAUCUACUCAGCAUGCACAUAUGAGACAUACAUUCAGAGAUCAGGAGAACCAACUAAUGUCACCGUUAUUAUUUUUUAGCAAGCACUCUAUCGUUAUACUGGUCUCAAAUUUGCGCAUCCGAUUUUGCAGCUUUAUUGACCAUAAAGCAACAAUAUAAAAAUUUACCAUGAAGAACAUUGCACAUCACCCGUCCAUAAAUCAUGAAUUGCACAAAAGAAUAAAAGACAAACAAGAGGGAGCUGGUAUACCUACGAACAAGAUGGAAUUGGCAAGGUUGCCGACAAGGAAGUCCAACUCUGUCCAAGGACUCCUACACUUUUGGGAUAGAUGUUGUCGCACACAGAGCAGGCCCUAGCCAUGGAAUUGAGCGGAGCUCAGGGGAGAGGUGGACAAUGCCGCGAAGAUGAGAGCACACCUACAACAAUCAUUCUAGAGAGCUCAAGGUAAGGCCUGUAAAAAAUAGCCAGCAAUAGAAUUAGGCAACAGAAAUAUC